UUACUACAGAACAAAGGCUGAGGCAGAUGCCUCCCUCUCACAUUCAAACAGUCUUGUCUCUUACUUAAUCAUGGCAUGCAGGGCCCUAUUUGAAGAGCACUAGUGUUAAGUGCAGUGCUAUGCCAUAUACGUGCAAGUGAUCAAGGAUCUCCGUGAAGUGCCAUAUAAAGAGCUCAGACCAGUUCUGGAGAGAUGCACCCCGGAGCAGCUGUCGCAUUGAACUGUUUAAUGAAUAUUUGAGGGAGGACUCAAAGGAGCUGUGGAGGACACACUGUCGGCGGGUAUUUAAGCAGGAGGUUACUUGUGAGCAGGAGACACGGAGGAACAUGUAUCUCUGUCUCCAUAAAGAAUCUGAAGAAUGUCUACAGAAGAACACACUGGCUAUCAGCUUCAAGCAAGGCACGAA